rnacentral:rRNA from 1 species
UACGUAGGGGGCAAGCGUUGUCCGGAAUCAUUGGGCGUAAAGAGCGCGUAGGCGGCCUGGUAAGUCCGCUGUGAAAGUCCAGGGCUCAACCCUGGAAUGCCGGUGGAAACUGUCAGGCUCGAGUCCGGAAGAGGCGAGUGGAAUUCCUGGUGUAGCGGUGAAAUGCGCAGAUAUCAGGAAGAACACCAGUGGCGAAGGCGGCUCUCUGGGACGGUACUGACGCUGAGACGCGAAAGCGUGGGGAGCGAACAGG